GGAGAAAUUAUGACCGAGAGCCUGACACCUGAUGCUAGCGGCUUUUGUCUCGCCAAGUUGACCCAGUAUUUGGCCACCUUGUGCGGCGGGUGACUAUGGUGUCCCGGUAAGUGGCUGACGUGGCAGGCGUCCCAGGAAUGGGAGAAGAGAUGGGUAUAUAUAUGUAUUACCUGAAAGCCCAGGGCAGUUGUUGCCUUGGGUCAUGCAGAGAAUAUGCAGCCACACCCAUGCCUUAGAUGUGUGUAAUUCAAGUGGAGAAGACACAAGCCAGUGGUCGCAAUAUCAACACUUGAGUGUUCUGUAAACGGAUUGGUGUCAGCAGAAAACCAACAGUGAUGUGGUGGCACACAGUGAACUGACCAGACCCAGGCAGCAGCGGCUCUUUUGGUGGCAAUGGUG
ensembl:lincRNA 2900076A07Rik RIKEN cDNA 2900076A07 gene